CGUCUGUGGGCGAAUUGGUCAAGGCAUCGCCGAUUAAAGGCGAACAUGCGGGUUCGAGUCCCGCUAGAACGG
rnacentral:tRNA from 1 species